rnacentral:rRNA from 1 species
GACGAACGCUGGCGGCGUGCUUAACACAUGCAAGUCGAACGGAAAGGCCCUGCUUGCAGGGUACUCGAGUGGAGAACGGGUGAGUAACACGUGGGUGAUCUGCCCUGCACUUCGGGAUAAGCCUGGGAAACUGGGUCUAAUACCGGAUAGGAGCCAUUUUUAGUGUGAUGGUUGGAAAGUUUUUUCGGUGUAGGAUGAGCUCGCGGCCUAUCAGCUUGUUGGUGGGGUAAUGGCCUACCAAGGCGGCGACGGGUAGCCGGCCUGAGAGGGUGGACGGCCACAUUGGGACUGAGAUACGGCCCAGACUCCUACGGGAGGCAGCAGUGGGGAAUAUUGCACAAUGGGCGCAAGCCUGAUGCAGCGACGCCGCGUGGGGGAUGACGGCCUUCGGGUUGUAAACUCCUUUCGCUAGGGACGAAGCUUUUUGUGACGGUACCUAGAUAAGAAGCACCGGCUAACUACGU